rnacentral:rRNA from 1 species
UACGAAGGGGGCUAGCGUUGUUCGGAAUUACUGGGCGUAAAGCGCGCGCAGGCGGUCUUCCAAGUCAGUGGUGAAAGCCCGGAGCUCAACUCCGGAAUUGCCAUUGAAACUGUUGGACUUGAGGAUGAGAGAGGUGAGUGGAAUUCCCGGUGUAGCGGUGAAAUUCGUAGAUAUCGGGAGGAACACCUGUGGCGAAGGCGGCCAUCUGGACAACUACUGACACUGAGACGCGAAAGCGUGGGUAGCAAACAGG